UACGUAGGGUGCGAGCGUUAAUCGGAAUUACUGGGCGUAAAGCGUGCGCAGGCGGUGAUGUAAGACAGGUGUGAAAUCCCCGGGCUUAACCUGGGAACUGCAUUUGUGACUGCAUCGCUGGAGUGCGGCAGAGGGGGGAUGGAAUUCCGCGUGUAGCAGUGAAAUGCGUAGAUAUGCGGAGGAACACCGAUGGCGAAGGCAAUCCCCUGGGCCUGCAC
rnacentral:rRNA from 1 species